GCCGCACUCGGCGGCCCUGGUACCUCCUGGCCUCCUGUCGCCGUGUCUCCGUGCCUCUGCUUUAUUGACCCCAGCUCGCUGAAACAGAGAGUGAAUUAUAAUGACACACUAUCAAAUGUUGCACCAUCCUUGGAUUCCUGAGAUAACCCUACUCAGUUAUUCAGAUUUCACUGUGCGGCCUGAUGCGGAGCUGCCAGGGGAAGGACUGCGUCGGCCUUUGGGAGCUGAGGAAGCAGCGCUUGCCUGGCCCUCUCCUUGAGACUCAGCUGCCAAGUUUCAGGAGGUAACAAUGUUGAUUAGAGACAUCUGGAAUGUGAAGACUGCCAAACAAGGCUACUAUGUGGCCCACUACCCGGGGGGUGCAAGGAGGGAGGUAAGAAGACAAAGGAGGCUCCAACUGUGUCUUUAAUAUUCGUUUCUUCAAAGCACAGAUACCCAAUUGCAGCAAAUAUGAUAAAAUAUUAACAUUUAUUAAAUACAGGCAACGGUUUUAUGGCUGUUCAUUAUAUUAUGCUCUAAUAUUUUCCCUCUGUAUGGUUGAUUUAUUUCCUUAAAAAUAAACAUGUGCUACUGAAUUACUCUUCUCUACAUUGUGGGAGGCUUCACAGAACCAAAGAAAAAUAACAGGACUGGGGAGUCUUGAGAUUAAGAGCCAAGUCAUAACUAGGCCAUUAGCCAGCUACAUAAUCUUAAGUAAUUCACAACCUUUCUGGAAUUCAACAAUUUACCAAAUCAGAUCAGACUACAAGAUUCAGGCCCAUCCAGAAUGAACACGAUUCAUUUAUUAAUGCCACUAUGUAAAUGCUAUAGUUCUGUGAGGGAGAAAUAAUAUCAAAAAAUAUAAAGCUCAAUCCACAAACUCCCUUUAAUUGUUAUAUCUGGAGAAUACCUCCCAAUAGUCUAUUUGCAUAAAAUAUUCUUUGUACAUCUAUAAUCCAGUGGCUCCUGGUGUUUUAAAAUGUGAGAAUCCUUUCUCAACAUUACCAACACCAUAGAACAAAUACGGAUCCACAGACUCUGUGAAAACUCAGGCUAGAAAUUACUAAACGUUUAGACUCAGUACCCCUGAUAGGCACUAAGAUAAAAGCAAUUCAAAUCUAAUUACUAAAAAGGGUACGUAUUAUGUACAAGGGAUUCUAUCAAAGUUCUCUCAGAAAGAUAAAACAACCGUUAGGAGAAACAUUCAAGAAAGGAGAGACCACAAAACAUGGAUUUCAAGGGUUUUUUUU